GUGCUUGCUUCAGCAGCAUAUAGACUAAGAUUGGACAACACAGAGAUAGAUCAGUAUGGCCCUUGCACAAGAAUGACAUGUAACCUCUCCAGAGAGUAUGGUAUGAUUCUU
rnacentral:snRNA from 2 species